rnacentral:rRNA from 1 species
UACGAAGGGGGCGAGCGUUGUUCGGAUUUACUGGGCGUAAAGGGCGCGCAGGCGGCUUUGUUUGUCAGGCGUGAAAGCCCCGGGCUUAACCUGGGAACUGCGUUUGAUACGGCAGGGCUAGAGUUCGGGAGAGGAGAGUGGAAUUCCCAGUGUAGAGGUGAAAUUCGUAGAUAUCUGGAGGAACACCGGUGGCGAAGGCGGCAUCCUGGACCGACACUGACGCUGAGGAGCGAAAAGCCAGGG